rnacentral:rRNA from 1 species
UAAACGAUGAAUACUAGGUGUGGGAGGACUGACCCCUUCCGUGCCGCAGUUAACACAAUAAGUAUUCCACCUGGGGAGUACGACCGCAAGGUUGAAACUCAAAGGAAUUGACGGGGGCCCGCACAAGCAGUGGAUUAUGUGGUUUAAUUCGACGCAACGCGAAGAACCUUACCAGGAUUUGACAUCCAACUAACGAAGUAGAGAUACAUUAGGUGCCCUUCGGGGAAAGUUGAGACAGGUGGUGCAUGGUUGUCGUCAGCUCGUGUCGUGAGAUGUUGGGUUAAGUCCCGCAACGAGCGCAACCCCUAUUGUUAGUUGCUACGCAAGAGCACUCUAGCGAGACUGCCGUUGACAAAACGGAGGAAGGCGGGGACGACGUCAAAUCAUCAUGCCCCUUAUGUCCUGGGCUACACACGUAAUACAAUGGUCGUCAACAAAGGGAAGCAAUACCGCGAGGUGGAGCAAAUCCCCAAAAACGAUCUCAGUUCGGAUUGCAGGCUGCAACUCGCCUGCAUGAAGCUGGAAUGCUAGUAAUCGUGGAUCAGCAUGCA